UAGGAAAGACUGGAGGUCCUAGUGCC
rnacentral:piRNA from 1 species